UUGUUUGGCACCUCAGCCCGACUCCGGCCACUGACUCCGGAGAUGCCGAGGAAGCUGUGGACGAUGGCGUUCACUUACGAUGAGCUCAAGCACAGAAACGGAAACGGGGGGAGGGACAAAGAGAAAGAGGGAGGAGUUAAACUUUUGGACAUAAACUUUAAGGACGAGUGUAAAGCAAAGGACGGACGAAAGUGUGAAGACGAAGGAGAGAGGAAAGCGGACAGAAGUGGCAUGAUGGAGGAGCGAGAUGGAGGGAUGCAAGCAGAGGAACCUGAAACUCCUCGCCAUGAUGAAGGAAUCUCAUGCCACAUUCCACUCGAUAAUGAGGACAGGGACCUGAGUAUGGCACACACUCUCUCACACACACACCCGUGUCCCAUACACACAAAACACACUCGCACACUGCACACACACUCGCUAACACUCCCGUCCAUACGAGACAAAACCAGCAGGAUGAAAAUCGCCUUGUUCCCCAGCAUGGGCAGGAGGAUGUUCAAACAGUCCUCGAGGGUUACCGUGGAGACAGGAGGAGAGGCGGUUACCAUGGCACAGGUGAAUGUACCACAAACACUGUUUUACAACCAGAACGUCAAUCUUGUGCUUCAGUCGGAAGGAAGACGAUGUAAGAUUAGCGAUGCCGAUGAUGUUUGUACGUGUAAUGACAUUGGUGUUAGCAAAGCGACAGAAGACGACGCUAGCCGUGAGCUUAGCAUUAAUACAACCGAAAACGGUUUCUCUCUGAGUGACAGUGAAACUGAUAUCCAAAGUGUUAGCCAAACGGUUAGCGACAGCACAUCCUUUCACCGAAGUGCAGGCGAUGUUAGCCAGAGUGACCACUGUGCUAGCGUCAAUGCUUCUGCUAGCACAGAAAACAAUAUUAGCAAAAGUAUAAAUGAUUCUAUCCAGAGUGACCCUGGUAAUGGCGAUAGCGCUCCUGCUCCCGCUGACUACACAGUUAGCAUUAGUGGUAUAGGCCGUGAUAGUGACAGCACACAUGUUAACCAGAGUGCUUCCACUAGCAUGAGCCUUACGGUUAGCAACAGCAUUGUGGAACGCAUUAGUGACGUCAAGUCUGUUUCCCAUAGCACUAGCCAGAGCAUCCGACAAACCAUACGCAUACGGCUACCGGCUACAGUACGCAACAGCGUCAGAGCGUACUUUAGCCCCGCCCACACACUCACACACACGCGGGCACACUCAGAGACGCACACACAGACAGUGACGCACACACACACGCACACAAUGACAAAAUCACAGAACAGGCCGCUGUUUACUAGAAAACUUCAGUAGCAUUAAGCUGUUCAUCAGUAUGGCAGAAUUCCUGUUUUAGUUCUUUAGUUCUGUUUUAGUUAGCAGUUGACGCUAAGUGUAAUUUAAGUGUAAUUUUAGUAUAACAAUUUUUUUUUUUGUAAUUUUCCAGCACUUCUGAGGUAAACGUUAACGUUCCGGAUGUUUCUGUGUCACUUUCACUCUCACUGUGUCUUUACAUUGUGUCCACAUAAUAGAUUUAACAUAUAUGCUAGCUUAACCUACAGAAUCACAACCAUGUGUGAAGCUAAUCAUGUUGGCUGAGUAAUUUGCUAGCAGAGUUAACAGAGCCUAGCUAACUAGCUGUCCUGAAGGAUUUCAUGCUCAUUUCCUUUCCUUUAUUUAAUAAAAUGGAACUUUUUGGAUUUGAAUAAAACUUGUAUAGUAUAUCUUUGCUAAUUGCAGUAAUUAAUGUAAAGAUGUAAAAAUUAGCUUGACAUUAGCAUGCUAACUACUGUGUAAAGCUAAAAUUAUGGAGUCUGAAAUCUACCUGAGGUAUAUUUACUUAUUCAAGUUUUAAACACACGGCACUGUAGCGUAUUUAUUGUAUAAUAUUUCAUUCAGUUCAGAAUUUAUUCACCAUUGAACUGAUUUAUUCAUCGUUUCUGCACAUUACACAAUCUUUUUAUACCUAAACACACUUCUGAAUGCUAUCUGUGUGUGUGUGUGUGUGUGUGUGUGUGUGUGUGUGUGUGUGUUCUGUCAUUAAUGUAGUCAUUUAUCGGUGUAUGAUUGUAUACUUCAUUUUCACCAUAUCAUUAAAGUGUAUUAAAAUCA
ensembl:lncRNA